AGCUGGGUGUGAGUCCGCGGAGCUGAGAGCCUUGCCCUCUGCUCCAUCCUCCUCUUUUGGGGGUCUCCGCGGUGUCAGGACUUGGAGAGCCUGGUCGUGGGACUUGAUCAGAGAGGCCUUGAGUGCAGUGGGUGCUUAUCUGGUGACUGUGGCCCUGAGGUCUGGGACAGACACUGCCAGUCUUUCUGGGCCACACCCACGGGGACUGCCAGCCCCCCUGGGCUUGGCACAGUGGAGGGGAGCCUCCACCACAGUGGAGGAGAGACACACCCAAGGCCCUGGAUGUGCCCGGCUCUCUGCAGCUGUGGGUGCCUCAGGCCGGCCGCCGAUGGGUCUCAGUUUCUGAGGGGGUGGCAGUGAAGUUGCAGAGAAGAAACCUAUGAAGGUGCCCUGUCAACUGCCACACGCCGAGAUGCACAUUGACAGCCCAUCACCGCCUCUUGCCUGUCCUCCCCGGGGACCGGCAGAUCAUGGGAGAUGAUUUGUCAAGGGGAGACACAUUUGGGUGACACCAAGCCGAGCUUCCUGUCUUGAGACGCUUUCUGCUUUCUCAUCUUCCUGCUAAUGAGUUGCCUUUUGUGUGUAUCCCACUUCCUGUCCCACCCAGCCCCAAAUGUCCGUGGAACCGGCCCCACUAACCUGCAUCCAGCUGCCUCUUCCACCUGGGCCCUGCUCUCAGAUGGAAGUGUCACCAAACACCCAGAUCGCCGUGCUCCUGCUUCUCUGGAGUGGACACAACCUGAAAACCAACUGGACUGAGCAUCCUUCUCCUAAAAUCUCAGCCAGAAGCCACGAUGGAGGGUCCUGGGAAGGGAAGAGAUGUGAAGAUUUCUGUGAUUCUAAAACCUUGGGUCUGCCUGCAAACUUCUCUCUGAUCCCAGCCGAGAGCUGUGCACACGCUAGCUAGCCCUGUCACACAAUAGCCCAGUGUUCCCGUCACAGUGCCUGGGAAUGAGAGGCUUUUGAGGCCACAGAGCUAUGACAAGUCCCCAGGUUGAAUUGACUCUGGGAGGACAAAUUUCUGAGAGACUCACGGGACCCUUAUCCAGGACAACCUCACAAAGAUCCCUGAAACUGAGCUUCCUCUGCUUCGUGCAUAGUUUGAGGUAUAAACUUUCCUUGUGUCUCGGUCAGAUGAAGUGAAGGAUGAAUAUUAUCCCAGGCUAAAGUAACGAAAAGUCCAGAAGCCAGCGAUGACAGAGAUGUGUGUGGAAGAAGGCUGUGAGCAUUUCCAUCAAACCCUGUGAGUUUCCGAAGAUCUUAUCCCGAAGAUAUGUGUUUGGCCAAUAAAACACUGAAUAAAAAUCCAUCAUGUUUCCAGAGCCAAGUCGACUUCUGCUGGGCUGGGGUGAGGCAGAGGCAGAAUCAGACCUUAUAAAGAUGUUUUGAAUAGCGGCUGUUCUGGGAUCGCAGCCCAGUGACAGUGAAUGCUUUCUGAGUUCUCGGAUGAGAAGGAACAGAGUGACAGACUGACCAUAACUGGCCACUGUGGUGUGUGCUCAGCUCCAGACCAGCACCUUAUUUGGUGGGGGGAGAGGGUUCAAGGCCCCAGCGAGACAGUGAGUCCUGGUAGGGAAGGAACUCUGGCCAAGCUGCAGGCUGUGCAGUGGAGUGGGUUAGGAGGGGCCCUCGGGGAGGGAAGAACAAGGAGAGAGGGAAGUGAGAGGAAAGGAGGUUUCUCCUUCAUCUAAAUCCCAAGUAUACACCCUUCUAAGGUCUGUUCUGGCCCUUCCCUAGGGAGUGCCUUCCCCUCUACCUGCCAGGUCCCAUAGAUAAGGAUGUCCUCCCCUGCAGGCGCCUGGCCUCCAUCACAGCAUGCCCACUCUGUGCCCGCUGCAACCUCCUCUGACUCUCCCACUAGACCGGUGCCUGGUACACAUGCUCCUGCGUGCAUGAACAUCGGUCAGCUAUGGGUCCUCAAGAUGACAAAACCCCCUGCUCCUGUGUCCUCACGGGGAUCUGCACCAGCACUGGGCUGAACACUCUCCCUGCAAUCUGUCAGUCACGUCUUCUGUAGCAUUUUCUUUCUGGCAACAACGGUUGGGGUCAUUAAAAGUGUCUUUGAAAUGCAACCUUUUAAUUACAGGAGGAAUACUGCCCCUGGGAAGGGGCCUUUCUUCAAAUGCUCCAGGAAUUCCUUGGCCAAUACACUCCAGGGGGAACACAGCCCAAAACGGGCCUGUGGCUGUGAUCAGACCCAGGCAUCCUGUCAAAACAGGAGCCUGGGAAGGGGAAGCUCAGGGAAGGAAAGGGGCUCCUCUUGGGAAGAGCAGGGGUGCUGGAGGAAGAAACCCACCCAGUCCCCUUUGGGCCUAACUUAAGAUAUGCUCACCGGCUCUCUAGCACGCAGUUUUCCCCAGGAGGUCCCUUGGCCAUGACCCAAAGUUAGGAACUAGGGGUCUGCGGACGCCUCCUCCUCCCAUAUCAGAAUAUGCUCUCCACCGCCUGCACGGUGGCAUUGGCUUUCUGGAGCUUUAGGGCCAGCAGGGGCAGCAACCAUCUUCCCACGUGUCUCAGGCUGACUGCACACAGCUCCUCUCUUUGUUUUCAGAAGCCAAAAAGAGCCAGGCAGGCCAAAGCGGGAAAAGGGGGGGCUUCUAGGAAACACCUGGGGUGGCUGGGCAGAGGUGAGAUGUGACCCUGGCUAGCCUGAGGGCUCCCUGUGGCUUUCGAUGGCCAGCCUGUGAUAAAGCCCUGAGAACUCCAUCUCCUGUGAUUUUCCUGGGGUACUGAUUUUCCCCUCCCUGGGAGUCUAGGUGUUUGUUUAUAAUAUCCAAGAAUGCUAAUUGAGAUCAAAGUGACUCUGAAGUUCACCCUGGGGGUGCUGCAGUCUGAAAGGUGUUUUGCAAAGACACGAUCUUGGUUAGCCCUUCCCUGGCGCUAUGCUGCAGGAAGCUUCUCACAGGGAAUAGUCCACACUGUAAUCUACCUCAGGCAGGUGUGCUGCUGGGAAACUCAGUUAAUGAUGUCUAAUCUUUAAGAGCCAUGGGAAACUCAGGAAGACCUAGCUGGACAGAUACUACUCAGACAUUUUCUCAAAUAAGUGUGGCAGAGCCACUCCUCAUCUGGUUCUUCCAGUCUUAGUUACCUGCCGAGCCAGGUGUGGCAGGUGUCAGGUACAGGGAUCUGGGAGCUCAGAGAGCAGUAGCAGGAGCUUUAGGCUUCAGUUUUUUCUCCCACUUGAUGGCCCCAGACGCCUUGGUGAAGUGAAAUGCUCCCUGCCUGGGGCUCCAGGAUGCCUUCGAGUGACUGCCUUAAGGUUAUUGUGUUUUCUUGUGGCUACGCCAGGAUGUUCUGCUUCACCAAGCAUUUCCAUCCUCAAUCGUCAUGUCCCUACUGAAACUCUGUGUUCUCUUCUCAAGCAAUUUUCUGGUAAAAACAUUUUCCUGGCUAGCCUGUAAGCAUUGCUGUCUAGCUUUUGUGUUAGCACUGAUUCAGAUGGCCACUACCCACUCUGUGCAGCAGACUUUCAAGACCAAGCAGACUGAUAGGCAGGCAGGAGGGUGGAGUUCUCUACCUGCUGGAAUGCCCUGAGGCCCAGAGAAGGGAUGGACAGGGCAUCAGUGUCUCUCCCGUGUCUCUCUUGCCUUCAACCACUGACUCACCCAUGUUGUUUCUCACUUAAGUUAAAACACACAGAGGGGCUGUUCUUAGAGAAAGUCUAACUCGGCUGGGCGUAGUGGCUCACGCUUACAAUCCAGCACUUUGGGAGGCCGAGGCAGGCAGGUCAUCUGAGGUCAGGAGUUUCAGACCAGCCUGGCCAACAUGGUGAAACCCCGUCUCUACUAAAAAUACAAAAAUUAGCUGGGCAUGGUGGCGCACACCUGUAGUCCCAGCUAUUCAGGAGGCUGAGGCAGAGAAUCGCUUGAACCUGGCAGGCAGAGGUUGCAGUAAGCAGAGAUCACCAUUGCACUCUAGCCUAGGUAACAAGAUCGAAACUGUCUUAAAAAAAAAAAAGUCUAACUCUACUUUUGAUCAAAUUGUAUUCUUGCAAACAAUUUUGCAAGAAAUUGAUUGUCUCAUUUUGAUGCCAUGAUGACAUUUUGGGAAAUGUUUCCAAGUUGUUACAGUUUUCUAGCUGCCAGGACCUGGGUGCUUCCUGUGGCAGACAAAGGAGAUGUGGGA
rnacentral:lncRNA from 1 species